UUUAAUUUUGCAAACAAUUUUUCUCAGUUUUCUUCAGAUUGCUCUCUCCCAAUUUGUAUGGGUGAAUUAACAAACCUUGUAGUCUAGAUUCAGUUAGCUUGUACUCUAACUCAGCAUUCACUCCUCCCCUAUAUUAAUUUCUAAGGUAUUGAGUUCCUUUCGGCUUUCAGAGAAGAUAAGCCAUUGUUAUGUCUACAGUGGAUUAGUGAUAGGCAAUUGUUAUGUCUACAAUGUAUUAGAGACUAUUCCCUUUCGAGAGAGACUGAAAUUGAAUUGUUGGAAUCAGUGACUAAUGCGCGGAGGGCUCCUCUUCUUUUGCUCGCUCUGUAGCGAAUGAACCCUUUAUUUUUUGAAAUUUUCCUUUAAAAUGACCCAAUUGAAGAACUCAUCUUGUUAUUAACAUACUCCUCCUCGGCGUGUUUUACAACUAAAGCUAAACAAUUGUGAUAUCAAGUUGCUUUAUAUUGUGUUGUUAAUGAUGAGAAAUGUUGGUUUUCUUUCAAAACUCUUUUAUAUACAACUCUGUAUAAUAUAACAUGCAACAAGUUUUAUUAAAUUUAUUGUCAACAUCAUUUUCAUUCUUAUAUAUACUCCUUGUAAAAAAUUGUUGUAUAUAUCCUAAUGAAAAUGUAAACUGUAAACUAGAAACAAUCUAAGAUGUUACAUCUUCCCUCUAUUUAAUAAGAGUUUGAGCAGACUUUGUACUUUAGAGAAUUACAUUGAGAAAAAUCAUUUUAUUUAGGAAAAUUCUUCCAUCUAGGCAUAAUAUCCGCUUAUAACUAUAGCAUAACGGUUGUUGUCAAGGAACCCAUCAAGCCAGUCGUCAAUGUGGAACAUACUCAACUUUUCAUCAACGCACAGUUUGUUGAUGUUGCAUCAGGAAAGGUCAAAGGUAUUAUUUCGAUUUACUGAUCUGAUGGAGAAACAUAUUGACAAUGCUCGAGACUCAGAACACAUGAAAGCCAUAUGAACAUGCUUCUAAGAUUAAAGUCCCAAAUCGUUGUUCAUCCCCGUUGUUAUGUUGGUAAGUGAGAAAUCUAACUGGAAAGAAAAUAUAUAAUCAAUUAUUUCUUGUCCCUCAAAAUAUUAUGGUCUCUUAUCAGCUCUGCAGGCUAAGCAGAUAAAUUCAUGGCAUGACUAGUCCUGUUAAUCGACAUAUCAUGUUUAAAUAUUGAGUUAAUACAUAAAAAUGACCUUAAACUUGACACCAAAUUAUAACUUUGACCUUAAACUUUGACAGUGCACAAAUAUGACCUUUAACUAUUCAAAACUGCACAAAUAUUACCUCCAAUCCUA